AACGAACGCUGGCGGCAGGCCUAACACAUGCAAGUCGAGCGCCCCGCAAGGGGAGCGGCGGACGGGUGAGUAACGCGUGGGAACGUGCCUCUUGCUACGGAAUAGCCUCGGGAAACUGGGAGUAAUACCGUAUGUGCCCUACGGGGGAAAGAUUUAUCGGCAAGAGAUCGGCCCGCGUUGGAUUAGGUAGUUGGUGGGGUAAUGGCCUACCAAGCCGACGAUCCAUAGCUGGUUUGAGAGGAUGAUCAGCCACACUGGGACCGAGACACGGCCCAGACUCCUACGGAGGCAGCAGUGGGGAAUUUUGGACAAUGGGCGCAAGCCUGAUCCAGCAAUGCCGCGUGAGUGAAGAAGGCCUCGGUUGUAAGCUCUUCAGUCGAGAGAAAGGACUGCAGUGAAUAACUAGUAG
rnacentral:rRNA from 1 species